AUUGAACGCUGGCGGCAUGCUUUACACAUGCAAGUCGGACGGCAGCACAGAGAAGCUUGCUUCUUGGGUGGCGAGUGGCGAACGGGUGAGUAACAUAUCGGAACGUACCGAGUAGUGGGGGAUAACUGAUCGAAAGAUCAGCUAAUACCGCAUACGUCUUGAGAGGGAAAGCAGGGGACCUUCGGGCCUUGCGCUAUUCGAGCGGCCGAUAUCUGAUUAGCUAGUUGGUGGGGUAAAGGCCUACCAAGGCGACGAUCAGUAGCGGGUCUGAGAGGAUGAUCCGCCACACUGGGACUGAGACACGGCCCAGACUCCUACGGGAGGCAGCAGUGGGGAAUUUUGGACAAUGGGCGCAAGCCUGAUCCAGCCAUGCCGCGUGUCUGAAGAAGGCCUUCGGGUUGUAAAGGACUUUUGUCAGGGAAGAAAAGGCUGUUGCUAAUAUCAGCGGCUGAUGACGGUACCUGAAGAAUAAGCACCGGCUAACUACGUGCCAGCAGCCGCGGUAAUACGUAGGGUGCGAGCGUUAAUCGGAAUUACUGGGCGUAAAACGAGCGCAGACGGUUACUUAAGCAGGAUGUGAAAUCCCCGGGCUCAACCUGGGAACUGCGUUCUGAACUGGGUGACUAGAGUGUGUCAGAGGGAGGUAGAAUUCCACGUGUAGCAGUGAAAUGCGUAGAGAUGUGGAGGAAUACCGAUGGCGAAGGCAGCCUCCUGGGAUAACACUGACUUCAUGCUCGAAAGCGUGGGGAGCAAACAGG
rnacentral:rRNA from 1 species